AGAGUUUGAUCAUGGCUCAGGAUGAACGCUGGCGGCGUGCCUAACACAUGCAAGUCGAGCGAUUCUCUUCGGAGAAGAGCGGCGGGCGGGUGAGUAACGCGUGGGUAACCUGCCCUGUACACACGGAUAACAUACCGAAAGGUAUGCUAAUACGAGAUAAUAUACUUUUAUCGCAUGGUAGAAGUAUCAAAGCUUUUGCGGUACAGGAUGGACCCGCGUCUGAUUAGCUAGUUGGUAAGGUAACGGCUUACCAAGGCGACGAUCAGUAGCCGACCUGAGAGGGUGAUCGGCCACAUUGGAACUGAGACACGGUCCAAACUCCUACGGGAGGCAGCAGUGGGGAAUAUUGCACAAUGGGCGAAAGCCUGAUGCAGCAACGCCGCGUGAGCGAUGAAGGCCUUCGGGUCGUAAAGCUCUGUCCUCAAGGAAGAUAAUGACGGUACUUGAGGAGGAAGCCCCGGCUAACUACGUGCCAGCAGCCGCGGUAAUACGUAGGGGGCUAGCGUUAUCCGGAAUUACUGGGCGUAAAGGGUGCGUAGGUGGUUUCUUAAGUCAGAGGUGAAAGGCUACGGCUCAACCGUAGUAAGCCUUUGAAACUGGGAAACUUGAGUGCAGGAGAGGAGAGUGGAAUUCCUAGUGUAGCGGUGAAAUGCGUAGAUAUUAGGAGGAACACCAGUUGCGAAGGCGGCUCUCUGGACUGUAACUGACACUGAGGCACGAAAGCGUGGGGAGCAAACAGGAUUAGAUACCCUGGUAGUCCACGCCGUAAACGAUGAGUACUAGCUGUCGGAGGUUACCCCCUUCGGUGGCGCAGCUAACGCAUUAAGUACUCCGCCUGGGAAGUACGCUCGCAAGAGUGAAACUCAAAGGAAUUGACGG
rnacentral:rRNA from 1 species